rnacentral:lncRNA from 1 species
CUCCCAAAGUGCUGGGAUUACAGGCGUGACAAGGAUCUUUAUGACAUUGUACACAUGGAUCAAAAUAUCACAGGUGCUCCAAAAUAUGUACGACUAUGAUAAAUGACUUUAAAAAGAAUCGAAUAAUAAUAAUAAAGAUAUCCUUAACAAAAAAGUGGCUUCUAACCUACCAGUUUGCAAUCUUAGCAAUGAACACUGUGCAGUUAUGAAAUUAUUGUCCCUCAGCUCCAAAGCCACCCUCCUAGACCUUACUUGGUCCACAAAUCCCGGUCAGUUUUGCCAGCCACUCUCUGCUAGGCUCUGCCAAUAGAGGGCGCUAGAGGGAGGCUUCAGGGCUGGGGAAAGAAGAAAGCACCUGUCCUUUCUGUUCCCUGUAGGUUUCAGCCUGACUGCAGCAAUUCCUUUCUAGAUAGCAGCUGCAUCCAAUUAGCAGAGGCCACAUUGCACUUCAUUCUCCUCUCCAACACCAGCAACUGCCAGCCAGGGCCUCUCUUAAGAGAGCUGAGUUGCAGCUUUAUGGAACCCCUUUUCAAGAUUCUAAGUUAUAAUCAUUCCAAUCUCUUUCCUUUAUUCUCCAAGCCCUAGGGGAGGUAGCUUCUCCCUGCAUUUGCUACCUCAGUGAAACUUUUCAAAAGCGUUUCACCCAUCCUGUUAAUAAUUUUUACAUUAAAAUCUCUCUUUUCAAGUAACUGGUAUGAUUUGUCUCCUGACUAUCCCAUGACUGAUCUAGACACCUAGACAAAUUGAAAAACUUUACAAGUUAGAUGUUGAAUCCAACCCCUUAGUUUUACCAGACGAGGAGGCUGAGCCCCAGAAAGGGUCAAUAACUUGCCCAGAACCUCAAUGCUGGCCGAGGACCUGCUGGCACUGCAUUUCUGGUCUCCUGGCUCCAGGCCUUGUGCUUUCACUACUAAACCUCACUGUCCAAGGUCAUGGAGGUACCAGAGAGAAUAAGAAGAGCUUCUCAAAUGCUGUCUUUGAAGUCUAGGAAAAGGAAGAAUGAAGGAAAAAUGAGCCUAUCACCAGGGAAGGGAAAUACAAAAUUAACAAUGUCUCUGGAAUGGCUAUGUUAUUAGACUCAUUUAAAAUCUGUCUUUAGCAAAAGAAAUUUAAAAAAUACAUUUGGAAAAUUAGAGUGCAGUGGAGUUAUCAAAAAUUACCUUAGUGUGAAGCAGAUAAGGAACUAGUUAGAAAGCCAGAAAUUCAAUCUUCCCUCAAUUUCACUCAACAAGCUCGGUGGCAUAUUAGGGAAAUGAUCCCUUAAUAUACUGAGAUUUUUGAGGAAAUUGAAAACCAGGAUUGCUACUUGCAGAGCAAAGGAGGAAGAGGAGAAGAAGGAGGAGGAGGAGGAGGAGGAGGAGGAGGAGGAGGUUGAAAGGAGGAGCGAUGUGGUGGAGUGGAAAAGACUUUUAAUUGGUGGUAACACAACAAAGGAAAUAGAAUACCCCUCCUUGGAAGAGGGAGGAGCCUGCAGUGACAGGCACCAUGCAAGAAAGAGCCCAGUUCUGAGACUGAGACAUCUGGGCCAUGGUCCUGGCUCCAUGACUACCACAGCAUGCCUGUGGGCAGCCCAUUCAGCCUCUCUGACCACUAUUACAUCUUUGUAAAAUUCGGUGCCCAUCUUUGCAGAGUUGUUAGGAUUAUAUAGGGGAGUGGAUUUAAAGUAUCUAGCAAAAUGCCUGGCACCAAAGUAAAUGCACAUUUAAUAAAAGCUGCUAUUGAUGUUAUUAGCAGUACAGCUUAAAAUUGUCUAGGACCUUGGAAAGCCACAGGAUUAGAAAAAUAAAAAUAAGAUGGUGAUAUUUUAAAAACAAGCCAAUCAUAUACUAAAGGAAUAUGAGGAAAAAGGAUAGAGAAUAGCAUAGGAAACUUAUUUUUAGUAGUAUGCCCUUUAAAUAGACCUCCCUCUCUCCUUACCUGGAGAAGAAGCCAGCUUCCAAUAAAAAGCUUUUUUUGAAAAAUAUUUUCGAAGUUUCCUCUAACAAGACUUUGAAGGGGGGAUUUUUUUUUUUUUUUUUUGCUAACUCAUAUUUCUUCAGUUCCCACAUUAAAUGUCAUCUCCUUAGAAAGGCAUCCCUGAUGUUCCAAACUAAGGCUCCACCAACUUUUUCUAUAAAGGGACAGAGCAUAGAUAUUUUACUUGUAAAAUGUACUUUGCCAAUCUUCUAUGGUCUCUGUCACAUCAUAUUAUUAUUCCUAAAUUUACAACCCUUUAAAAAUGUUAAAAAAAAAAUUGGUCAUAGGUUUGUAGACCACAGUUUGUUGGUUCCUGUUCCAAAUUUCAGUCGUCCCUGAUAGUCUUUUGGCAGCAUACUAUUGCUUUUCCUUUGUAUCACAUGUCUCUAUUUGAUGUUAUAUAUUUAUUUGUUUGAUAUUUGCCAAACUCCUGUGACUGUAAACUCCUGGACGAAGGGACCAUGUUGAUUUUGCUUGAGGAGAGUUCGACACUGUGUCUCUAGCACAGAGAUGUACACAUAGUAGGUACUCCAUUAAUAUUUGUUCAAUAAAUAAAACAAUCUAAAAGUAAUUCCUAUUCACUGUAAGAAAAUCUGAGGAAUACCCCCCAAAAUGUAUAAAAGGUAAAGCAAUAAUCUAUUCAUCAUACCACCACUCAGAGACAGCUGUUGUCAGCAGGCUUUAUUUUUGUAUUUGUAUUGGUACGUGUAUAACUACAUACUGUAUUUACACGAUAGAAAUCUUUCUGUCUCGAAAGCUUCAUAGUCUAGCUUUUCACUUAAUAAACAACUCAGCAAAGAAUAUUUUAUGCAUAUGUCUUUGUUGGUGUUUCUAGUUAUUUGCUCAGAAUAGAUUCCAAGAAAUCGAAUCAUGAGAUCGAAGGAGAUCAACAAGUUUGUGGCUCUUGAGACACAAUGCCAAAUAUCCUUCUAGAGAGCUGGCAGAUAUCAGAAACCUCUUCUCAGCUUUAGAGAUGCUUUUCACACAGACAGAAGAUUUCCUCUCCACACCAGAGGCAGCAGGAUAAGAUGUACCAUCAGACCGCACUGGCUUACCGUGGUGACAAGAAAGAAGAGGCCCUGACUGGGAGAUGGAUAACCAAGAUGAAACCAUGAGACAACAUUCUGGGCCAAGCAGUGAGCAAUGAGGAGACCCAGACCCCAGGUUCCUGGCUGUGUCUUUGGUGAGUAGAGACAUAUCCACAGCCACAGUGGAAGCAGCUGCAAUAGAAAGGAUUUAAGACAACAGUGAGGUUUCUGACUGGGGCUCACCUUAGCCUUGGGGCAGAGGGGUAUCUGUCACUUUCCUUAAUCUUCUCUCAGGCUAAAAAGAAGAGGCAUUAAGACAGAUUCCCUGAGGAUACUUCAAGAACCCUGAAAUUGCCUUGCUCACAUACCACCACACUAGAGAUGUUUCAGAAAAGCAGCUUCCCUUUUGGUGCCUCCAAUCCAGAAUGACUCCAGGACCCACCGAGAGGUGAGGCAGAGAGGACAAGGCAAGGACAAAACUUCUUUGGACUAUUUUCUGCACAUCCCCAGCAGAGAUUGAUGAAUGCCUCUGAGUCAGCAAAAUCUCCAGUGGUGAAACAGAAAGCGUACACUCCACACAUUCAAGCAGCCAGGCCAGCCCACACGGAGAAGAGGAUGUUCACAUCCAGCCUGUUCAGUGGACCCCAUGGGGCAUUUCAAAGGCUAUUACAUUUCCAGGACCUUCUAUCACACCCCCUUUCUUCCAUCCCUGCUAAUAUUUGUGACUUUCCAGCUUUCUUCUCUGAAAUUAAAAUCAAACCUUUGCAAAGUGAAAAUCAGUUCAUCUGAGCUAGUGCUGGUUAAGAUUUACAAAAUAAAGAGGAAUUUUACACCCACUGGCCUCAAAGAGUCAUUUUAGCUGGCAGUCAUGAGCUCCACCGAGGACCCGAGUGUUCUCUGUCUGACCGGGUUGCUGGCGGAAGGGAUGCGGGAAAUUCUUUGUGCUCUGUUGCUCUGCUCCAUACUUAGUGACGGAUCAUCUCUUGGGCCCCUGACACAAAGGAUGGCAAUGUCACCACUCAGCUCUCUGGCAGCCUAUUCUAGGCUGACAGUCUAGCCUCAGGGAUCACUGCAGACCCCUGCAGUUUCCCCUUCCAGUGAAAUCAGCUGGGUGCUGAUUUUACACCCACUGGCUGAGACACAAACAACAUCCCUCUCUCGCCUACAGAGAUGGGCUGGCACUGACUCCAGCACCCUGAGAGGCCAAUGCCAACUUCACACUUGCAUCUUAUUGGAGUCAUGCAUUUUGCAUAGAAGUUGUUUAAGGUUAUAUGUGUAAUGCGCACCUGGAAAAGUCUUCCAGGGGUGGGACAGCAAGAUAAAGGAGAAGCAACAGACUUUGAAGUCAGAUAUAACUGGAUUUUUGAAAUCCUAGAUCUGUCACUGACUAGUUUUUCCAAGUUACUUUACCCUCUUAGAGCCUAUGUUUUCUCAUCUGUUAAACAGUGAAAAUCAUGUUUGUCUUUCAGGUCAUUAUAAAGGUUAGAAAUGGUAUAAUGUAAGAUACCUAGUACAAAAUGGAUGCAAAGAAAGAGCUUAUCAGAUUAUAACUCUUGGUAGUGGUGAUAGUAGUAUAAUUAUUAUAAUUUGAUUUUAAAUUAGAAAAAAAGGAACAGGUUAUAUAAGACAGUGGGAAACAACUGAUUUAUUCGUAUCAGUUUCUUUUGCUUUCUAUGAAGAAGUCUGUAUGGGAGAAAAUAAACCUUUCAACUUCAUUCAUAUAAAGGAACCCACAGUAACAAUGAGUGGCAACACAGGACAGGAAAAUCACAUUAGGAACUGGGGUCCAGCACUCAUGCCUUAAGGUCUCUGAGCAACACUCCCCUCAUUGCAUAAAUACAGACUAUCACUCUACUCAUCUCACAGAGUCAUUUAAAGACCAAAUAAGAGCGAUUAGGAAAACCAUUGAAAAUCUGUAAAGCACUGUACAAGAUUUUUUAAUGCAGUUCCAUUUUUUCAUGCUACCGAAGAUAUGUGCAAAUAUUCCAAACAUCAUCGCAAAUACAGGAAGGAAGCCAUGUGGGGAUCGUUCCUACUUUUUAAUACAGCUCGAUAAGCAAAAACCCUGCCAUCUCAGCAGCUCCUACUGAUACACAGUCUUUGUCUUAAGCAAAAACCCUGACAUCUCAGCAGCUCCUACUGAUACACAGUCUUUGUAUAAACUACGUGGUUCUCUACUCUGGCUGUACAAUAGUGUCACUAUGGAGCUAUUAAAAAAUGUAUAUGCCCAUGACUCAUCCAUAGACAUUCUGGCUUAGUUAUUCCAGAGCACAGCCUGUGCUUUUUAUCAGCAGCUCCUCAGGUGAUUCUAUUGGGCAGUUAGGAUUAAGGACAUUCAUCUAGUGCAGUGGUUGUCAACUGGAAGUGAUUUUUCCCCCCAGGGGACAUUUAGCAAUACCUGGAGACGUUUCUGGUUGUCACAACUGGGAGCAGGGUGCUACAGGCAUCUAGUGAGUGGAGGCUAGGGAUGCUGCUAGGCAUCCUACAAUGGAAAGGACGGCCCCUCAGAACAUGGAAUUGUCCAGCCCAACAUGUCAAUAGUGCAUGACUUUGAGAGGGGCCACACAGAGGACUCAUUCUAAAGAAAGUCAGGAACUGCCCAUACUGCACAAACAUAGCUCAGCAAUAUUUCUGGUUUCACAUGCUCUCCAGAACCUUGUCAUUUCCUCCAUUAGAAGAUGGAGUCUAUUUCUUCUUUUUGAAAUUGAACUGGUCUUUAUUACUAUCUCAACAAAUAGAAUUCAAGGAAAUAACAUGCCUGACUUCUGAGGCAAAGUCACAAAAGGCUUCUGCUUGUCUUUCUCUCUCAAGAUCUCUUUCCAAGCCAACAGGUUAAAAAAAAAAAUCCAGCUACCCUGGAGCUGCCAUGUUGGAAAGAUCACAUUUAAAGAUCGUAUGGAGAUAGAGAGAGAUGCUCAAAAGAAGCCCCAGCCAUCUGCGUCUUCCAGUUUGGGUACCAGAUAUUUGUGUGGGUGAGCCCUCCGAUGAUUCCAGCCCCCACCUUCCAGCUGCCCCAGGUAAUGUCAAGUGGAAUAGGGGCCAGGUGUCUGCCCAGACUGCAGAUUUAUAAGCAAAGUAAAUGGCAUGGAGGUUUUGGUUCUACGGGGAGUAUAUGUUUGCUUGCUUGUUUGAUAUGUAAUAAUAGAUAACCAGAAUAAAGUCCUUUAUGAUUCUAUAAAAGAUCCAUCUCUAAACCCUCUUCAUUGGGCCACCAAGGUCAAAAGCUUACAUAUACUUGUACAGGGAAUGAGUUUUAUAUAUUUCCAGCCCACUCCCAACUCUGCAACUUCCACCUCCAUUCUCAGUAAAUAUGCCAGUUUACUUAAGAAUUCCUCCCAUUCAUUUCUGUUGUGCUUUCUGUGGUCUGGAAGAUCAUAUUUUCCAACAUGUGGGUCAAGGGUCUUAUGGGUCUUUUUUGUUCUUGGUGAAGUUUUCCAUUGUGGAAGCAAAUAUAAGCAUAAAUAUAGGUGAAUCAAUACAAAUAAAUAAAUAACAUAUGUUUAUUCUGAUAAUUAGCAAAUUGGUAGUUACUAAACAUCUUUCAUUUACCAGGUCUUCCAGAAGGGUGCACUUAACUGUGGAGGAAAAACAACUCAUUAAAGUCUUUGAAGGUGACAUUGCCAAGGGAGAUAUUCUGCAGGCAAAGUGGACAGAAUGUCCUGAGACAUCCUUGCUUUAAUCAAUGUUGAAACAACUGAGAAGCUAAAACAUCAGGUUUUGCAGUUGGAUCAGGGGAGCAGGAUGAGUACUGACUAAGCACCUACUGUGUGCAGAUCCUGAGCAAAGUAGUUACGGCAGUUAGCAGGGGUAAUUGCAUUUAAUUUUCCCAACAUCCUUGGGAGCUAAGAACCAUCCUCUACUGCCCGGUCUUCUCUCUCUCCCCCUCUCUAUCUCUGCAUCUCCCUCUCUUUCCAGACAUUCCUGUUUAUUCCCAGUAAAACUAAAAUCUACACAAGCUCCACAUAUCUUUGAUUAAAUCUUGAUCAAAAUCCAAUAACUCAGAAACUGUAAGUUUCAACAAGGAGUUAAUAAUUUAAAGUUGUUGACACAAGUGCUUUUGAGACUGGUAGUAGGCUCUCUCCUCUGAUGUUGGAAUAAGCUGAAAGGCACAAAAAAUAGCAGUAGACAAGUGGGGAAAGUGUCACAUUCAAAGCUAAAUCCAUACUGAAUCUGUAUCUCACAUGAUAAAAUGAGUGUUUUGUGUGCAAGAACUUCUCCUCGAGAGAUUUUUUUUUUAACCCCCGGUGGUUUAAUUGUGAAAUUGCUCUUAAUCUUGAGAGUACGGAGCUUGCUUUUUGGUUGGCUGGCUAGGUGGUUGGUUGGUUGACUGUAGAAAACUUAUUUCUAUUCAUUGUGUGUUAGUUACAGAAAAGUGAAUUUACUCAUAAGCUUUGUAAUAGUCAACCCUCUGACUAUGAAUUCACCGACUGUAUUAUAAUAAACGCAGCCCACUGUGUAAAGAUGUAAAUCUCUUGAUGUUAAGAAGGGUUUUCUUCCUUGCAUAAACUGUACAAGAAAAUAAUGGUGCUUAUAGCAGAAAUGUCUUUAAGGCCUACAUAAAAACCUCAAUUUUUCAAAACACUCAAAUGGCUUCUACUAUUACCUCUAAAGACUAGUUUAGGAAUUGCAUAUUUCUUUCUCCAAUAACAUUCUAUGGGUUCUCCCACCUCCAGUCUCUCUCCUCAAUGAUCCUUUCUUCACCAAUGUGGUGAUUCUGCUAGUUGCUCAGGAUGUCUCUUCUAAUUAUGCAUUCCUGAACUGGGGGGAAAACCACAGAACAAGCUUGAGGACCCGCUGUGAGAUGGACCUGAGCUAAAACUCCAUUGAUCACCUAACCACCAUAAGCUCCUACUCUGACUGAUGGGCCACAGUGACGUUUUCAGUCUCUUGGAAUUAGUGUCAGUUCAGAGCAAGUAUCUUCAAAAGGUCUGACUAUUUUCCUUUCCCCAAUGCACAGUCACCUAGUAAAAGCCCACAGGUCUCUUUGGGGAACACUGAGAGAAAGAUUAAUGGUAUAAAUUUUUGGCAGUGUACUGGGGUCCCUCCUCAAGGAGAUUCAGCCUCCCUUUCAUUCAAGGGUUUCUGGGUCUGUAAACUGGCUCAAGUCUGGGAAUUGACCAAGAAGCCAUGAUGCUCUGUUUCUAUAUUUCAUGAGACUUCUGUUCACUUGACCUAGAAGUUUACUCUUAUACAGAUCAAGUAAGAGUUUAGUAGACCUCCUAUUUAUUUCAUUUCUAAAAAUGCCACAAUGAACUAGCCAGUACCACAGGUCUACAUAGGUCAGACUGUUCUGAUUUCUGCUUUGCCUCUGCUGUCCACUACAAUAACCACACUCCCCUUGCCUUUGGUGACUGAGUGCCACCACUUGGCCCUUGCACCCUGGGAUCCAAUUAUUCCCACUGCAUUUAGGUAUUGCAACUCCAUGACUACAGUCCACACUGUAAGGUCUGUUCCAGAGAGCACAGUAAUCACAGAUCUCUUUAAGAACACUGAGGAUCCCCUCAAAAAACUCACAUAGUCAUGGUAAAAGAUGUGUCCUCUGAACCCUCCAAGUGAGGGUGAGUAAGUCUGAAAUGAAAAAUCCGCUCUAACAUGCAAAUAUUCCUAGGCCUUUCAAUCUCUUCCUCUACCAUAAACCAACAUAGGUCUGGCAUUUCGACUUCAUUUACUAUGGGCCACAUUUUGGUCUACAUUUCAGCCAACCAAUGAAACAAAUAGUAGAGUUUUUUCCAGCCCUACAAGCUGCAACAUUAAAUGCAGAAUUUCUGCUUAGUGGGCCCAAAUCAAUAAAUGUAGCCUGACCCAACUUUAUGUUUCUUCCACCAGUAUCCCACACCCUUAAUAUCCAUUCCUACAUAUACUUUCCAGAAAAAUCAAGUCAUUCUUUUGGAGUGUAACCACCUCUUCAUGGUCCACACGUUGUGCCUCACCUUUAGAGGCCUGAUGGGACUUGACUCUAGUUACAGGUCUAGAAGCAAAGAGGGGUGGAGGGGUUGGGUCCUGAUGAGAAUCAGCAAGUCUUGCAAGGCAACUGCCUCAGGAGAGGCAAUUACAGACUCCUCAGUCAAUGCAAAGUUCAUCUCCUCUGAAUGGGGGCAGAGAGGAUGCUUAUAAUGGCAAAGAAGACUCAUCAGAAUGUAGGGGCUCAGUGUUCCCAAUUUCAUCAGUCUUCCCACACAUCCCCAUGCUAACUUUCAGGAUCUCAUUCCUUCCCAAUCAAUGUUCUCACUUUAACAGAAGACACCCUGCAAGGCUGGGAAUUCAAUUUUCACUAUAAUUCAGCCACUCACAGAAUGAGAUUCUGGGUUUGGUUUUCAGCAAUCUCAGGAGAUAAGGAUCUCUUUCAAGGGAAACACAGAAGCUUUCAAAUCCUUUAUGCAGCAUUUGAACUGGGAAUUUGAAUCCUUGGGCUCAUUCAUUUCUUUCCCCCACUUUGUCCAGUAACAUUAGUGCUAACAGCCAAAGUCUUUAUACUCAUUAGUUUCACAAAAAUGUUUGAAGGUAUCAUGUACUCGGUCACCCAGAUUCUUGCCUAUUAUAAGUAUUUGAUUAGAUGUAUCUAGUGAUAUUUUAUGUAUCUUCAUUGCCACGUCACAACAUGGACUAUCAGUGCUCUCUUUACUCCUAGAAAUAGAGUCAAAAGGGUCUUUAACGUCGAAUCAACAUAAGUGCCCAUCAACGGGGGAUUGGAUAAAGAAAAGGUGGUGCAUAUACACCAUGGAAUACUACACAGCCAUAAAC